UUUAUCGGAGAGUUUGAUCCUGGCUCAGGACGAACGCUGGCGGCGUGCCUAAUACAUGCAAGUCGAGCGGACAGAUGGGAGCUUGCUCCCUGAUGUUAGCGGCGGACGGGUGAGUAACACGUGGGUAACCUGCCUGUAAGACUGGGAUAACUCCGGGAAACCGGGGCUAAUACCG
rnacentral:rRNA from 1 species